GUCUCCCGAAGCUCUGCGCCACGCCGUCUCCGCGCGACCGGCGCACCGCGCGUCCCCCCCGCUCGUCUCUUACGUCAUCAAGCCGAACCUCAUCAGCUUCGUCGCGCGCAUGCUCGACGACAGCAGCGCACGCUCACGUUCUCCGUCGCCGACCUCACAGCAGCGCGCACUUCCUCGACGCGGCCCGGCUCUUCCCGGACCUUGGCGGCGGCUCAACCCCGGCGUCUACCUGAACCAAGUCGAGCCCUUUCUGGCUCCCCGUCGCCACCUCCACCUCGUCGAGCACCCCAGGCAUUUGCUUCUUCCCGGAUAGGAUCACGAAGUGGUGCUGUGAGAUACGACAAGUUCUCCGGAUGUUCCUCGGCAAGCUUUAACAGGCAAGCAUUUUCCCUUAUACUUCUGCCCCUGCAGAAGUCGCUUACCUAUUUUAUUUUGCCUUCUCCCUCAUGCUAUCCUUAAGUUGCGUUCUUGUCACGUGUCCCUUCCACUUGUUACCUCAAGCAGCCCAUAUUGCCACCACCAACCACCAACCUCCUACAGCUGUUGUUUGGUUAACGGGUCUGCCUUGCGAGUCGUAGUGCAUGCUAGUGUUGUUUAUAUCUCGUUACCGUUACCGCUAUCUUAUCGGGUUAUCAGUUGGGGAACAUGACACAUGGUUUAUGGUUAUAUCUGUUGAAAGUAUCAUGGUUACUUGUUAAUAGUUGUUAGCGGAGGCAUCGGUGGGUCAGUUGCUCGUUUUAUGACGGCUCACUUGUGUUUCCAUGAAACCUAGGACCCCGAGUUCUUGUUAUCUGUUCCGAGACUGAGCGCUCUAACCACACGUGGGUAUGCUUCUGGGUCUCCCCUCGACCACUGCCGGAAUCUACAGCUUUGUCCAGUGGCCACAACUAGUUUCGUAAUGUUUUACCAUUUGUUGUUGCGUGCAUGCCAGCCUGCUACUUAUUUAUUUUGGGAAGCCCCUGGGUGCCUUGUAUCCCUUGUUUCUGGUAUGCACGUAUAGGUCGUGGAGCCUCUGCGAAGUGGUUUAUCGCCCCAGUGUGUGUUUAAACCACCAAGCACGUUGACACACAUAGCUAAGUCCGAUUCGGAGAUACGGCCGGACUUCGAUACGGGUUCAACUUGGUUAGGUGGCUUUCUGGAUAUUGUUGUCGUGAAGGAGAGUGCGAGUCGUUAUAUCCACCUGUCGCAAGUGGGUUGAUCGUGCGUGUGGGCACAUUUGGGCACCCCUGCAGGGUUAAAUCUUAUCGAUAAGCCGUGUCCGCGGUUAUGGACGACUUGGAGCUGUAUGAUUCGACCAUAGACAACUUACACUUGUUGUUUAUUAAUAAUAACUUGCGUAGUAAGUUAGCACAACUCUAAUAAUAAAUGGUUAAAACUUGACAACCGUGUGAGUGCCUUUGUAAGUACUUCUUGGCGAAGGGGGAACGCAUCGGCUGUGUUUUGUUUGCAGAGUAUAUAACUGUUACUUACGCUCUCUCACCUUCUCUGAUAGACGACUGUUGUAGAGUGUCUCUAUAGGUUUAUAGUGCUUGCGCGCUGCCGCUUAACCCCACCAUAUUGCCUAUGACGUUCCUCUUGCGUCCUCUAAGUCCCCUGCGUGCCUCAAGUACAAAGGAUGACUGGUUGACGAAUGCUUAUACGUCUUGAAGUCUUGUUAAGUACGAACCCGUACUUAUUGCUGCUUCUACGGGAUAUAACCGGGCAGGUAUGAAGAUAUGUUCGAUGAAGACGACGCUAGCGAGGUUACCCUUCCGGCUUGGCCUGGGCAGGGUUAUGGACGCCACUUGGUUAUCUUCAGGACUCUUAGUCCAAUUUGUAUCUUGUCCGUACUCGGACGUAUUUGAUCUUUUGUAUGAUUUGGAUCUUUGUAUUGUAUAUUUGUAUCUUGACUCGUUGGAGUCGUUGUUGUAAUAUAUAUGUUUCUUGUGGGUUCUAUUGUAA